GUGAGGGAUGCUGUGAUACGGUCGAAAGUGGUGACUGGAUUGUCUAAGAGUUUCACUCAAUGAUCUGUUCAUUCCUUUCACCAGUGCAGCUGUUGGAAGUCUGUACAUAUACUCAAGACAUUGAACUCAGAUGUUUACAGGCUCUUUAUGUGGCAAUGCCUGGAACUGUUUGCAAUCUGGAUUUUCAGUGAUGAGCACAUC